rnacentral:rRNA from 1 species
UACAGAGGUCUCAAGCGUUGUUCGGAUUCAUUGGGCGUAAAGGGUGCGUAGGUGGCGCCAUAAGUCAGGUGUGAAAUCUCGGAGCUCAACUCCGAAACUGCACUUGAUACUGUGGUGCUUGAGUACUGGAGAGGAGAUUGGAAUUUACGGUGUAGCAGUGAAAUGCGUAGAUAUCGUAAGGAAGACCAGUGGCGAAGGCGAAUCUCUGGACAGUUACUGACACUGAGGCACGAAGGCCAGGGGAGCGAAUGGG